UGCAGAGACUGCCAGACUAGGGACCGGAGAGGUGUGGGGUACUCUAGGGGUAGGGGUAAAAUCCUGUCAUCAUAGAGGACCACCAGUUGCGAAGGCGCCACACUGGAACGGAUUCGACGGUCAGGGACGAAGCCUAGGGGCACGAACCGGAUUAGAUACCCGGGUAGUCCUAGGUGUAAACGCUGUGAACUUGGUGUCGGGGAUCCGUAAUGGGUCCCCGGUGCCGGAGUGAAGAUGUUAAGUUCACUGCCUGGGGAGUACGGUCGCAAGGCUGAAACUUAAAGGAAUUGGCGGGGGAGCACUGCAACGGGAGGAGCGUGCGGUUUAAUUGGAUUCAACGCCGGAAAACUCACCAGGGCCGACUGUUAGAUGAAGACCAGUGUAACGAACUUGUCGGAUUUUCAGAGAGGUGGUGCAUGGCCGUCGUCAGUUCGUACUGUAAAGCGUUCUGUUAAGUCAGAUAACGAACGAGACCCUCAUCUCUAUUUGCUACCUGUCUCUCCGGAGACAGCGCACUAUAGGGAGACCGCUGGUGUUAAACCAGAGGAAGGCGAGGGCAACGACAGGUCAGUAUGCCCCGAAUGUCCUGGGCUACACGCGCGCUACAAAGGACGGGACAAUGGGAUUGCCAGGCCGAGAGGUCGAGCUAACCCGAAACCCGUUCGUAGUUCGGAUUGAGGGCUGUAACUCGCCCUCAUGAAGCUGGAUUCCGUAGUAAUCGUGUUUCAAAAUAGCACGGUGAAUAUGCCCCUGCUCCUUGCACACACCGCCCGUCAAACCAUCUUAGUUGGGGGUGGGUGAGGCUGCGCUUCAUGGCGUAUUCGAGCCUGCCUUCGACAAGGAGGGUUAAGUCGUAACAAGGUAUCUGUAGGGGAACCUGCAGAUG
rnacentral:rRNA from 1 species